rnacentral:rRNA from 1 species
GGACGAACGCUGGCGGCGUGCUUACCACAUGCAAGUCGAACGGUGAACGAGGGAGCUUGCUCCCUCCGGAUCAGUGGCGAACGGGUGAGUAACACGUGAGCAAUCUGCCCCGAACUCUGGGAUAAGCGUUGGAAACGACGUCUAAUACCGGAUACGACGCGGGAGGGCAUCCUCUCCGCGUGGAAAGAACUUCGGUUCGGGAUGAGCUCGCGGCCUAUCAGCUUGUUGGUGAGGUAACGGCUCACCAAGGCGACGACGGGUAGCCGGCCUGAGAGGGUGACCGGCCACACUGGGACUGAGACACGGCCCAGACUCCUACGGGAGGCAGCAGUGGGGAAUAUUGCACAAUGGGCGCAAGCCUGAUGCAGCAACGCCGCGUGAGGGACGACGGCCUUCGGGUUGUAAACCUCUUUUAGCAGGGAAGAAGCGAAAGUGACGGUACCUGCAGAAAAAGCACCGGCUAACUACGUG